UACGAAGGGGGCGAGCGUUGUUCGGAAUUACUGGGCGUAAAGGGCGCGCAGGCGGCUCUGAAAGUCAGAUGUGAAAGCCCCGGGCUUAACCUGGGAAUUGGCAUUUGAUACUCUGGAGCUUGAGUGUGGGAGAGGAGAGUGGAAUUCCCAGUGUAGAGGUGAAAUUCGUAGAUAUUGGGAAGAACACCGGUGGCGAAGGCGGAUCUCUGGGCCGUAACUGACGCUGAGGAGCGAAAGCGUGGGGAGCGAACGAGGA
rnacentral:rRNA from 1 species